rnacentral:rRNA from 1 species
UGGGGAAUAUUGGACAAUGGGCGCAAGCCUGAUCCAGCCAUGCCGCGUGUGUGAAGAAGGCCUUUUGGUUGUAAAGCACUUUAAGCGAGGAGGAGGCUACUUGGAUUAAUACUCUAUGAUAGUGGACGUUACUCUCAGAAUAAGCACCGGCUAACUCUGUUCCAGCAGCCGCGGUAAUACAGAGGGUGCGAGCGUUAAUCGGAUUUACUGGGCGUAAAGCGUGCGUAGGCGGCAUCUUAAGUCGGAUGUGAAAUCCCUGAGCGUAACAUAGGAAUUGCAUUCGAUACUGGGAAGCUAGAGUGUGGGAGAGGAUGGUAGAAUUCCAGGUGUAGCGGUGAGAUGCGUAGAGAUCUGGAGGAAUACCGAUGGCGAAGGCAGACAUCUGGCCUAAUACUGACGCUGAGGUACGAAAGCAUGGGGAGCAAACAGG